CCCGGGCCUCGCGACUGGCGCUAAAGAUGGGUAUCCAUCAGGGAACGAGGCUGGCCAAACGGCCAUGUCGAGCCGCGCGCCUGGGUGAUCCAU
rnacentral:ncRNA from 2 species